GACGAACGCUGGCGGCGCGCCUAACACAUGCAAGUCGAACGAGCGAGAGAGAGCUUGCUUUCUCGAGCGAGUGGCGAACGGGUGAGUAACGCGUGAGGAACCUGCCUCGGAGUGGGGAAUAACAGACCGAAAGGCCUGCUAAUACCGCAUGAUACAGUUGGGUCGCAUGACUCUGACUGUCAAAGAUUUAUCGCUCUGAGAUGGCCCCCGCGUCUGAUUAGCUGGUUGGCGGGGUAACGGCCCACCAAGGCGACGAUCAGUAGCCGGACUGAGAGGUUGAACGGCCACAUUGGGACUGAGAUACGGCCCAG
rnacentral:rRNA from 1 species